AUUGAACGCUGGCGGCAUGCUUUACACAUGCAAGUCGAACGGCAGCGCGGGCUUCGGCCUGGCGGCGAGUGGCGAACGGGUGAGUAAUACAUCGGAACGUGCCCAGUAGUGGGGGAUAGCUCGGCGAAAGCCGGAUUAAUACCGCAUACGACCUGAGGGUGAAAGCGGGGGAUCUUCGGACCUCGCGCUAUUGGAGCGGCCGAUGGCAGAUUAGCUAGUUGGUGGGGUAAAGGCCUACCAAGGCGACGAUCUGUAGCUGGUCUGAGAGGACGACCAGCCACACUGGGACUGAGACACGGCCCAGACUCCUACGAGAGGCAGCAGUGGGGAAUUUUGGACAAAGGGCGAAAGCCUGAUCCAGCAAUGCCGCGUGUGUGAUGAAGGCCUUCGGGUUGUAAAGCACUUUUGGCGGGAACGAAAAGGACUGUGCCAAUACCACGGUUCGAUGACGGUACCCGCAGAAUAAGCACCGGCUAACUACGUG
rnacentral:rRNA from 1 species